rnacentral:lncRNA from 1 species
AUGGAAGUGACAAGGAAAAUGAAAGAAAGGGGUCCCUAUUUAUAAAAUAUGAAGACCGUUGGAUUUGCAUCAAGUAAAAAAUCCAAUGAGGAGAGAGAAAGUUGAGUGGAAGAUGAGUGAUUUGAUGUGAGGCGACGAUGGUGUAAAAAAAAAAAGAAGAAUCCUUAAUCAGCAGCGGUUCUCCACCCAAGGCGGUAGCGACACACCGCCCAAGGCGGCGCACGACGCCUAAGGGGCGGCGACACACUGCCUGAGGCGGCAGUGCACCUCCCAAGCCAGCUACACCCUGCAGGCGCCGACUUAUCCCAUUGUGCGUAGGGCUAGCCUGUAAGCACGCAGGGCCUAUAGCGCGUAGGGCACUGUGCGCAUGCCUAUCCACACAGGCCUACUGCACCGGCGCGCACACAGGUUGCACGACGUCUGGCCCUGUCCGUGUGUGAUGUGACGUGCGCAGAUUGGCUUGUCUGCGUGUGAUGGGAUGCAUGCGCAGACCGGCUUCGUGCCCUGCGCCCCUCGUGGACGGGACGUGCACACAAUGAACACGUCUUGCAUUAACCGCGCGUGCACGCUUAUGCACAAUGUGCGAUGCCCUCACAGGUGGGCCUUUCCUGCAAGUGUUUUCCCACAGGAUUUUGCUCAAUUUUCCUGUUUUUCUC